CUUGCUUUGGUGGAACAAAGUAAAAUUGGAAUGAUAUAGAGAUGAUUUAUCAUGCCUCCCUGCAUAUACAUAACAAGCACAUUUGUGAAAUGUUCCAUGUUUAA
ensembl:snRNA U6 U6 spliceosomal RNA